rnacentral:rRNA from 1 species
UACGUAGGGACCGAGCGUUGUCCGGAAUCAUUGGGCGUAAAGAGCGUGUAGGCGGCUUGCUAAGUCUUGCGUGAAAUCUCGGGGCUCAACCCCGAGCGGUCGUGGGAAACUGGCAGGCUAGAGUGCGGGAGAGGAGAAUGGAAUUCCUGGUGUAGCGGUGAAAUGCGUAGAUAUCUGGAGGAAUACCGGUGGCGAAGGCGGCAUCCUGGACCGACAUUGACGCUGAGGAGCGAAAGCUAGGGGAGCAAACGGG